GGAAUAUUGCACAAUGGGCGCAAGCCUGAUGCAGCCAUGCCGCGUGUGUGAAGAAGGCCUUAGGGUUGUAAAGCACUUUCAGCGAGGAGGAAGGGUUCAGUGUUAAUAGCACUGUGCAUUGACGUUACUCGCAGAAGAAGCACCGGCUAACUCCGUGCCAGCAGCCGCGGUAAUACGGAGGGUGCAAGCGUUAAUCGGAAUUACUGGGCGUAAAGCGCACGCAGGCGGUUUGUUAAGUCAGAUGUGAAAUCCCCGAGCUUAACUUGGGAACUGCAUUUGAAACUGGCAAGCUAGAGUCUUGUAGAGGGGGGUAGAAUUCCAGGUGUAGCGGUGAAAUGCGUAGAGAUCUGGAGGAAUACCGGUGGCGAAGGCGGCCCCCUGGACAAAGACUGACGCUCAGGCGCGAAAGCGUGGGGAGCAAACAGGAUUAGAUACCCCGG
rnacentral:rRNA from 1 species